rnacentral:tRNA from 1 species
GGAGAGGUAUCGAAGCGGUCAUAACGGGGCUGACUCGAAAUCAGUUUGAGAUAACAUCUCACGUGGGUUCGAAUCCCACCCUCUCCGCCA